rnacentral:misc_RNA from 1 species
AAGUCGUAACAAGGUUUCCGUAGGUGAACCUGCGGAAGGAUCAUUAACGAUUGCUUACUUGGUUAGAGCUUGCUCUUUCCAUUUUAUACACCUGUGAACCGUUUUGUUUAGGUCUCCGCUGAAUCGCAAGUGAAAGCGGACUCCAACCAUUGCCUUUGUUUGUGAAAGCAGACCUGGUAGUGGCGUCUAACCCUCACCUUCUGGUGAAUGAAAUAAACAGCGUUUGGAUUUGGGAAUGCGGGAAAUACAACUUAUAACAAUGGAUCUCUAGGCUCUU